rfam:Populus trichocarpa scaffold_11_contig_589, whole genome shotgun sequence.
UAGAUUGUUUGUGGCAAAUCUUCAUCUAGCUAUAGUAGAUGCCUACUGACUGCACAAAACCUCUAGUUUCUACAAGCCUGACUGUAUUAUUCUCUUCUGGUUAGAGAGAACUCAUCCUUGAGUUCUAUUCUUUCUUCAAAUAAGAUGUCA